GCUCAAGUGAUCCUCCUUCCUCAGCCUCCCAAGGUGCUGGGAUUACAGGUGUGAGCCACCAUGCCCUGUCUAAACAAGCUGUUUAAUUACAGUGUUUUAGAUGCUGUGAGGGAAAAGUAUGUGUGUACAGUGAGAGCAAACAACGCAGCCUGUGAGGGAGGAUCUCCUGGCUUUGAAUCCACUUUCAUGCGUCUGUCCCAUUAAAGUCAGACACUUGCCAGCCGUGAAACUUUAAUCUUUUUGCCACGGGUAUUUAAUCUAAAUUUAGAGGAUGAGAAUGAUGCAGAGGUACCUUGGAUGUCAUGACCUUCCUUACGUUAUCCCAGGUCACAGUCAGUUAUUACCAUGGGACCGUGAUGUUUAAACAGUUCUUCAAACCUGCUUUCACAGAAAUGUACUUAUCUGGAUGAGGGGGGAUUUAUCAGCAUCAUCUCUCACCUGGUUGCUCCCUGGAGUCAACUUCACGAUUAUUCCUUCCUUCUCCUCUUGGGCAUCUCUUUUAGAAACUGCUCAACCAGGUGGUGAAGACAGUCUUGCCACAUAGAGAAGAACUUUUUGUGUUCAGAGGUUUACAAGCAGUUUCACUCGUCGGUGGGAGCCUCUAAAGAUGCUCUCAAGGCCAUUAGCAAUUUGUCCAGAGCUGUAGAAUUCCAGGUCUCUUUAGAGUUGGGGAAUCAGUGGUGACCUCCCUACCAUUUUCUUCCCUUUCCCGGCAGGUAUGUGUCUGAUUUCACCAGCACUCUCCAGUCCAUACGAAAGAAGUGCAAACUGGACCACAUUCCUCCCAACUCCCUCUUCCAGGAAGAUUGGACGGCUUUUCAGAACUCCAUUAGGAUAAUAGCCACCUGUGGAG
rnacentral:lncRNA from 1 species